GACGAACGCUGGCGGCGUGCUUAACACAUGCAAGUCGAACGGUAAGGCCCUUCGGGGUACACGAGUGGCGAACGGGUGAGUAACACGUGGGUGAUCUGCCCUGCACUUCGGGAUAAGCCUGGGAAACUGGGUCUAAUACCGGAUAGGACCAUGGACUUCACGGUUUGUGGUGGAAAGCUUUUGCGGUGUGGGAUGGGCCCGCGGCCUAUCAGCUUGUUGGUGGGGUAAUGGCCUACCAAGGCGACGACGGGUAGCCGGCCUGAGAGGGUGUCCGGCCACACUGGGACUGAGAUACGGCCCAGACUCCUACGGGAGGCAGCAGUGGGGAAUAUUGGCACCAAUGGGCGCAAGCCUGAUGCAGCGACGCCGCGUGAGGGAUGACGGCC
rnacentral:rRNA from 1 species